rnacentral:lncRNA from 1 species
AACUUCGGGGGUUGUUAAUGCCAGAUUUUGGCAAAUUGAUGUUAUGGAUUGAAACGCAACUAAAGUCCGAAUCGAACAAGAAUGGGCGAAUCGGCUAGAGGCAGGAAGUUAGACACGGCACGGAUGUAGCCGAUGGAGUCUGAAUCGGACAAGAAUUGGGGUCCAUUGAGCCCAAAGCUUAAAGAUAGAUUCGGCGUUAGUUGUGGGUCCGUGUCGAAUAAUUAGGAUUUAGCUUAGAGUUUGGUUAGGAUUUUUGUAUUUAAUUAAAGUCCGAACAUUAUAUGUUAGUUGAUAACAAAUUCUUAUCCGGUUAGGUUAGUUAACACCCAGGGUAUAAAUAUGUGUGCCUGGGAUCCUUGUAAAUCAUCUUCAGAUCAAAUAAACUUGGUGCAUCGCCUUCAAAACCUUCAACUUGCUUGACCUUUCGGCACGGGGUUUGUCUGCUUCGC